UUCUCUGAUGAUGAUCAAACCAAUAACUUUCGUUCUUCUGAGUUAUCCGUGCGGAAUUUAUAUGGAGACCUGAACUGAAGAGAC